AUGAGGGCCUUGAUCGUGAUCCUGAAAGCCUGAUUUCACAUGAGAAAGCCUACACGCAAAAAGAGCAAAUCCAGAAAUCCUUGCUGAGAUUUUACCCAAUCCUUUCACAGAUGUGACAGACAUUGAUUCUUGCCCUUGAGGAAGCAGACAGGAAGCUGUGGUGGGCCAGAGCUCUCAGCCAUCAUUUGACUGCAAAAUAUUCCCUUAGGACUAACUUUGUGAUAUACGAUCACACAAAACCCAUCAGCAGCUCCUGCAUGCAAGCUCUCUGACGUAUCCUGUACUGUUGCUACUGUGUUUAUGCUGGGAUGAUAUUUUACAUUAUUUUGAUGCCGGUGUAAUACAAUGGAUACUUUUAAAUGGAUUUAAGAACAAGCACUGACCUGCCACAUGACUUUGGGCAAGUGACUUGUGUGUGUUGUUUUUUAUCCUUUGAUAUUCUUUCAGACCUUUAGUUCCCCUUCUAAUCAUAAAUAAAAGUAUGAACAGUGAUGACAAGAAAAGGAAAAGAUGCAACAUGAGCACUGUACAUGGAGAGUGAAGGUAAUACAACACAACCAAUUUUCAAACGGCAUCUGCACCCAGCCUUGGUACAAAAUCGGACUAAUUUUAUGCAUAUGCCUUCUUUUGCACCCAGUUUUGUGUGAUUAGCUUGUUUGGUUUGCUAGGUAACUUCAUGCACUGUCACUCCAAGUAGAAAAGUGCAAGACCAAACUUCAGCUUUAAGGUGGACAAUCAUUAAAAAUAAACAGAGAUUAAGCCAGCACUCUUACCAUUGACACCGGUGAGUGCUGAGUUCACCUAUGGUGGCAGUACUACUCCUAAUUGGUACAAGAUUUCAUAUACUGUACUAAAGACUUAACUACUGCUUACCAUCAUUACACUUAGAGUCAUGCACAGACAGUUCUUUGGAUGCCCAAUCUCCUACUCAAUGGUCUACACACAGUGACAGCCAGACAUGUUGCUUAGUAUCUGUAAGAUAUCCAGAUCAUACUGCUGAUUCAAAUUCAAGCUAUCUUUCAAAAUGCAGCUUUGAGACUGAAAAGCCACUUAUCAUGAAGAGAGGACCUGUAAUAACAGAAAUGGGAAGACAGGAAGAAGAGACUGGAAAGCACAAAGGCUCUACCAAUGACUCCUCGUGCUUGACUGACCCCAGACUGAGCAAUACAAGAUGGGUGAUUUGAUUAGAAAAAGGGUGAUAAACAGGAAAAGAACAUGGAAGGAAAAAAUAAACAUAUAGGGCUGAAAGAAGACUGAUACAGAAAUUCCAUGCACUGCUUGCUGUUAAUAGUUAGUGUCUGCGUGACACAUUCACACCAUAGCAGGGUGGGUGGGGCUGGGUUUUGAUCCUUGCCUGAUUGACGUUAAUGACAUUCUUCCAAUGGCUGUGGCUUUCCUCAUACCACACCCAGGAGGGGUCAGAGGCAAAUUCCUCCUGAGUAUUAAUAUGAAAAAAACAUAUUUUUUAGUCAAGUUUUUAAAUGAUGCCAGGUGUUUGCUCUGGUUGCCUUAACGAGUCUAGCAUCGUCAAAGCUCAGCCUGCACUACCCAGCAAUGAACCUACAACUCAGCUCUUAAGACUGCAUCCGCUAUCCGUUCUUAAUCCACUUCCAGCUACUAAAAUGAUUGUACUCAUCUCUAUGAUAUUGCCUCUUAAGCAGUGGAAGACAGCAACAUCUGUGAGUGUGGAUCCAUGCCCAACAUAGUAUUGUCAGUUGUGGUGUUUAUUUGUGUUGCCUAGAAGCCCCAUUAACAGAUUGGGAUUGUCUGUGACAGCCAUGAAACAAAAGUGUUGCACUUUCCAUGGAAGGGUUAUUUACCGCUGUUGCUCUUGUUCUGUCUGCCACGAAAAGCCUUACUUUCUGCCAAUGAAAAUAAGAACCAAAAAUCGAAAGCGGUGCAGGUCUGCUGCCUUAAAUACAUCAGGACUGUCGGAUCUGAAGCAGUCACUGAGCAAAGCUGUCAAAGCAUUCUGCAAAGUUGGAACCCUGCAACAAGCUAAACUGUGAGCUUCUGAGCCCAGUUCCUGAGAC